UACGAAGGGGGCUAGCGUUGCUCGGAAUUACUGGGCGUAAAGGGUGCGUAGGCGGGUCUUUAAGUCAGAGGUGAAAUCCUGGAGCUCAACUCCAGAACUGCCUUUGAUACUGAGGAUCUUGAGUUCGGGAGAGGUGAGUGGAACUGCGAGUGUAGAGGUGAAAUUCGUAGAUAUUCGCAAGAACACCAGUGGCGAAGGCGGCUCACUGGCCCGAUACUGACGCUGAGGCACGAAAGCUAGGGGAGCAAACGGG
rnacentral:rRNA from 1 species